rnacentral:rRNA from 1 species
AGAGUUUGAUCAUGGCUCAGAAUCAACGCUGGCGGCGCGCUUAACACAUGCAAGUCGCACGAGAAAGCGGGAGCAAUCUCGCAAGUACAGUGGCGUACGGGUGAGUAACACGUGGGUAAUCUACCUUUUAGUGGGGAAUAACGCUGGGAAACCGGCGCUAAUACCGCAUAAGCUCGAGAGAGGAAAGCAGCAAUGCGCUGAAAGAGGAGCCCGCGGCCGAUUAGCUGGUUGGUAGGGUAAAAGCCUACCAAGGCAAAGAUCGGUAGCCGGCCUGAGAGGGCACACGGCCACACUGGCACUGAAACACGGGCCAGACUCCUACGGGAGGCAGCAGUGGGGAAUCUUGCACAAUGGGGGAAACCCUGAUGCAGCGACGCCGCGUGAGCGAUGAAGCCCUUCGGGGUGUAAAGCUCUUUCGGCAGGGACGAUAAUGACGGUACCUGCAGAAGCAGCUGCGGCUAACUACGUGCCAGCAGCCGCGGUAAUACGUAGGCAGCGAGCGUUGUUCGGAGUUACUGGGCGUAAAGGGUGUGUAGGCGGUUCGCUAAGUUUGGUGUGAAAUCUCCCGGCUCAACCGGGAGGGUGCGCCGAAAACUGGGGGACUAGAGUGCGGGAUGGGAGAGUAGAAUUCCUGGUGUAGCGGUGAAAUGCGUAGAUAUCAGGAGGAAUACCGGUGGUGUAGACGGCUCUCUGGACCGCCACUGACGCUGAGACACGAAAGCGUGGGUAGCAAACAGGAUUAGAUACCCUAGUAGUCC